GGCACCACAAGAACGCGUGGAGCAUGUGGCUUAAUUUGACUCAACGCGGGAAAUCUUACCGGGUCCGGACACACUGAGGAUUGACAGGCAAUAUAUGUGACUCUUCGGAGUUUGCAUUGUUAAAUAUGCUAGUCCUUUCAUGAUUAUGUGAUAGGUGGUGCAUGGCCGUUCUUAGUUCGUGGAGUGAUCUGUCUGCUUAAUUGCGUUUCAAAUUACUUAUAAGGUAGCAAUACGCGAUGAAGCUUUCAAUAGUCCUCACGGAUUCACUUGAGUCUCUCGCUUCGCUAUCCUUUCGAAUGCAACGAACGUGACCGCAACCUCUUGUUGCCUUCGUUUAACAUCCUGCAGCUCGCUGUGGGUACUGAGGGCUUCACUCGGUGACUUUGGGCUGAGCAAUCGGUCUUUUGAUCUGAGUAAACUAGAGGGACCGCUGUCAACUUCUUAAACCAGAGGAAGGUUGCGGCAAUAACAGGUCUGUGAUGCCCUUAGAUGUUCCGGGCUGCACACGUGCUACAAUGAUCGUAGCAGUGAGCAUCUUAUUUGAUUUACUUAACACCGCAUACGUGAGUUCCAACUAGCUUAGCAAUAAGUCAAGUAGUUCUCUACGCAGCGGUAACAGCCUGCUUCGAGAGCAAGUGGGUAAUCAAUUAGAAGUAACGAUUUCUUCGCAUUAGCACACUUAAUAUAAGGCGUUGACGCUCAUGAUUCGGCUCUCACGAGUUGUUUCAUUGCACGUGUUGAUGUGCGGGUUCGAUUCCUGCUUUACCUUAUGUGCAAUUGUCAAUUCAUGGUGGGGACAGACCAUUGUUAAUUGUUGGUCUCGGUC
rnacentral:rRNA from 1 species